rnacentral:tRNA from 4 species
GGGCGCUUAGCUCAGUUGGGAGAGCACAUGCUUUACACGCAUGUGGUCGGGGGUUCGAGUCCCUUAGCGCCCACCA